rnacentral:rRNA from 1 species
AACGAACGCUGGCGGCGUGCCUAACACAUGCAAGUCGAACGAAACCUUCCUUUCUAGUGGCCCCCGGGGGCGUAACGCGGGGGAAUCUGCCCUUGAUCUCCGAUGCACUGUUGGAAACGACUGCUAAUACCGGAUGAUGACCUGAGUCCAAUGAUUUCUCGCCCAUGGGUGAGCCCGCGUAUGAUUAGGCUAGUUGGGGGGGCAAAGGCCUACCAAGGUGACGAUCCUUAGCUGGUCUGACAGGAUGAUCACCCACACUGGGACUGAGACGCGGUCCAGACUCCUAGGGAAGGAAACACUGGCCAAUAUUGUACAAUGGGCGAAAGCCUGAUCCAUUGAUGCCUGCGUGAGUGAUGAGAGCCUUAGCGGUUGUCGAGCUCUAUUACCCGCUAUGAUAAUGACACCUCCUUGAGAAUAAGCCCCCGCCUAACUCCGUGCCAUCAGCCGACGGUAAUACGGAGGGGACUAGCGUUGCUCGGAAUUACUGGGGGUAAGAGCGCACGUAUGCGGUUUUGUAAGUUACAGGAGAUACCCUGGAGCUUAACUCCAGAACUGCCUUUAAGACUGCAUCGCUUGUAUCCACGAGAGGUGAGUGGAAUUCUCGAGUGUAGAGGUGAUAUUCGUAGAUCUUGGGAAGAACACCAGUGCAGAAGGGGUCUCUCUGCACUAGUAUACACUUGAGAGUGAGAGAGCGUGGAGAGCAAACAGGUUUAGAUACCCUGUUAGUCCACGCUGUAAACGAUGAUAACUAGCUGUCUGGCUUCCUGGCAUAUGGGUGGCGCAGCUAACGCAUUAAGUUAUCCGCCUGGGGAGUACGGUCGCAAGAUUAAAACUCAAAGGAAUUGACGGGGGCCUGCACAAGCGGUGGAGCAUGUGGUUUAAUUCGAAGCAACGCGCAGAACCUUACCAGCGUUUGACAUGUGAAGACGACCGGCAGAGAUGCCUUUCUUCCCUUCGGGGACCUACACACAGGUGCUGCAUGUCUGUCCUCCUCUCGUGUCGUGAGAUGUUGGGUUAACUCCCGCAACGAGCGCAACCCUCGCCUUUAGUAGCCAUCAUUUAGUUGGGUACUCUAAAGGAACCCCCGGUGAUAUCCCGGAGGAAGGUGGGGAUGACGUCAAGUCCUCAAGCCCCUUACGCGCUGGGCUACACACGUGUUACAAUGGCCACUACAGUGGGCAGCAAUCCCGCGAGGGUGAGCUAAUCUCCAAAAGUUGUCUCAUUUGGGUUGGUUUUUUCCACUUGGAGAGCAGGAAUGGGGAAUCGUUGUUAUUCGAGAUUCACCAUGCCGCGGUGAAUACGUUCCCAGGCCU